UAUCAAUGUGACAAGUGUGGCAAG
rnacentral:piRNA from 1 species